CUGACAGGAAUCAUAUAACUGAUGCCAUUUACGAACAUCUUGACACUGGUGGCUACCUGGAAAAUGAACAGAAAGGUUGUUCCAGAAGAAGAUUAGGAGCUAAAGACCAUUUGCAACUACACUGGAAAUGAUGAAGA